CAUUUCAACUGCUUACCAGAUCAACCAUUCUAGGGUUUCGCAUUUGGCGAGGAAGGAAAAGCGGACCGAGAUAGAUUGGUUUGACAGAGAGAUUGAGGGAGAUGGAAUGACGAACAAAUUAAUUAAUCAGAUGAGAUUACCGAAAUCGAUAACUAAUAUUUUCGCAGAGCGAAUUAUUAACACAGCCAAGGAAGCUUUAUCCUUAACUGAAUUUGAGUUGAUGGAGUUAUUGGACGUGGGAUUAUUGGAAGUUGCAUCAGCAGUUGCGCACAUUAUUUAAAUUGCUUCUCCUCCUUAUCAGACGAGGUGAUGAUCUAGUUGCAUCAAUUGGUGCUUUCUCUUAUGGAUCAAAGACUUCAAAACGAGCAUUUAACUGGCCAUCUUUCUACAUGUAAAAGGUUUAGACGAGGCCUUAUUUGGUGGAAUCCCAUUUGGUGUCUUGACAGAGCUUGUUGGUCCAGCUUGAAUUGGGAAAACGCAAGUGUAAUUCUUUCCUAGUUUUCGGGUUUGUUAAUUAUCUUUUAUGUUAUAUCAGAAAAUUUUCGUUGAUUGGAUUGGAGUAUCAAUUGGAAUAUAUGGUUGCUUAAGUUGAAGCAUGUUCAACUACUUUCUGCUGACAUGCGACUUUUUCUUUAAAUAGAACACAAUUCAGUUCGAGGUAUGUAAUGCAGUUCGAGGUAUGUACAUAUUAGUUCAAUUGCAAUGAUUUACCUGCAACGGCAUUGAAUAUUUAAAUAGAACACAAUUCAGGUGCUUGUUAGGACUGGGAUUUCGUGGACUAUCCAUACAUAGCCUAUAGAUAAUCAACAAUCAUUGGUUAGAAUAAUGAAGAUUGUAAACGGAAAAGAAAAAUGAAUGCUGAUCUUACUCAUCUAUUUUUAGAGUUUAUUCCCAACCAAUGUCUGAUGUCAAGUGCCAGAGCGUUUAUCUGAUCACCUUCUGUAUAGACAGGCAUAAGUUUGCAACUCAAACGUGACUGGAGAUUAAAUGAAAUGCAGUUAUAUGCAUUCGUUUACGUUAUAGAAAUGGAUCUGAAUAAGUCUGUAUCAUAUAGUGCUUUUGCGAGAGAUUGACUGUGCACACUUAACUUGCAUCUCUCAAACUCGAUUCAGUUAUCUAAUAAAAUUGCUGUGAAUUCUGCAUGUGGAGGCUCUUCUCUUUUUUCAUUAACCUACAAACCCAUGAAAGAUUUUCAAUAUCUGUAUUGUUAUAGCACUAUGGUUCAUUGACUCAUUCUGUGACAAUUUGUUUGGUGCUUGAAGCAAAAUCUGGUUGGAACACUUUUCACUGAUUAUUGCCCUUUAGCUGAUAUAAUGCUCAAAUGGCUCUGAUGUCAACGGAUCUUUAUGUUUAAUGAUAUCUUCUCAACUUGUUUAAGUUUUAAGCGAGAUAGGGGCAGUCAAAACUAGAGAAAGUGCUUCUAACAAUGUUUCAUAACUCAUCAUUUCCAUCAUCUCUCAUAGAUCAGAGGUUCAUCAAGAUUGCAAAGUCUCCAAUGUCUCCACCCCUAACUUUCCCUUUUAUCAUAACCUCAUCCGGAAUUUCAUUGCCGAGUGACAAUUGAAAAGAACCAAGUGGAGCUGAGAUCAAUGAGAGUCACCGUCAAGGUUUCUGUUACUCCCUAGGAAGAACGGUACCAACAUAAACAGCGCCUUCUCUUCAAUUAAAAAUCUUGAUGGACAUAAGUUAGAAGCUCAAGUACUCUCAAAACACUUUACUCUUUGUUUUCUCCAAAACAUUUUGAACUGAUAGUUGCAAAUUCAAUAUCAUUGCCUCCAUGAUGUUAAUGACUUAUCUCCCAGCUUCAUUAUCUGAAAUUUACCAAGGAUGCUACGAGAAGUUGAUGUUUUUAGUGUAUUAUAUUCUACUAUUAAGCCUAAGAUAUACUCCGUACUAGGUUUCUCUUUAGCUUUGUUGUUUUUUGGUUGUUUGACUUUAUGACAUUAAUGCAUGACACGGUGAUAUUAUCAGCUAUUUUUGGAAAAUGCACAACGUGAAUGGGACUGCUAAAAAUCUCAGGCUUGUCAUGCAUAUACGAGACUUAUGCUGAAUUGGUGGUUUCCUGUUGUUAAUGGUCGGUUAAUGAGGAAAUAGUUCAUUAAUUUCGAAUUAUGAUUUGGAUUCUCAUUUCAUGUUCAAUUUUAACAUUUGAAAUUACAGUGAAUAUUUUUCCUAUUUCAUGAGAAUCCAUGAUUAUUCUACCAUUUUCUUUUUGAUCAUGUUAUGUUAAGCGGAUAGCUUAGAACUAACCAACCGGACAUGGAAGAUGGAAAAGAUAUCAAAGCUGCGGAUGAUUUGUGUGGAGUGUAACUGUUUGUCUAAUUUCUUAGUGAUAAAAAUGUUUGGAAAGUACGGGUAGGACGUUAUGUUGAUUCAUUAUAAUGCUGGAACAAGGUUGCCACCAAUUUGAUCGUGCUCCAGCCAGCUCCUAAUUGAUACAAUGAUGCCUUAUGACAUUUACCUAUAUCGAUUGAAGUUCUACAGGUUAUGGAAUAUGUUUUGAUUUUUUUUUUUUUUUUUUUAAUGUAUCUGUGAGUGUCUAAGUCCACUUGCACACAACUCGACUAAUCAACGAGACAACUGUCCAACCCUACUACAUUUGGUUGGUUGUAAAAAAAAAUGGUAUCUACCAUAAAUUGAACUAGUUCUCUCCAAGUUUUCUGGUCCUUGCAACUCUUGAUGAUUAUAGCCACAAACAUUUUAAGAUUGAACCUUGCAUGCUUUAACAAAAAUUCUGUUGAUGCAUUGACGAUUGUGGUAGACUAUUAAAACAAAGGAAUUGUGGUAUGUUCUAAAUAUGGAGAAUAAACAUUUCUAUGUACUAACAUAUUUUAUGGUCACGUGAAUGUUUCAUUAUUCCUAACUUUCAAGUACUGCAAGCUGUGGAAGGAAAAAAGAAAGGAGUUAACCUGAAGGGUUUUCUAUCAAGGAAGAUGGCUUGCUUGCUGGAAACCAGAGCAGGUUCUCUAGAACAUUUUUGUGGGCAUUUUUGCAAGUGGAUGGUUGAAAGAAAGCAAUCUCGAUGCUGUCAAAUUAAGGAAGAUUGUGUUCUAUUUGACAUGUGAGCCAUUGACCCCGCCAGCAACUGAGGUAUUUUUUAUGCUUUUAAAAGAAUUGCAAAUUGGUAUUCAAAUUUGGUACUUCUUUUUUUUGUUUUUUCAAUGAAUGUCUGAACAUGUUUAGCUUUUAAGUACAGAAAUGAUCCGAUGCUGUUUGCAAUAAAUUAAUGAGGCAUUUAGUCACUAA